UUGCAGUUCUAAUAACAGAUUUGCUAUCUACCAUUUUAUAGUCCAAAAACUUUGCAGCCACGAACUUUUUCAACCCGUCAUCUUUAGUUUUGUAUUUAUUUUCAAGCGCAUUCCACAGUUCUUUUAACGUUUCCAUGCCAUUUUAGACAUUAUAUAACUCAUGCUCCAACCCGCUAAGAAUGUAAUUCUUGCACAAGAAAUCUGAAUGCUUCCACGCCUCAGUCACACAGUUCCUUUGACGUUUCCACGCCAUUGUAGAUAUUAUACAACGCAUCCUCCAACCUGCUAAGAAUGUAAUUCUUGCACAAGAAAUCUAAAUGCUUCCACGCUUCAGUCACGAGAAAGCGUUCAUUAUUAGGAGUUUCAUCGGCCAGCACAUGAACAUCUUCCUUGAUGAACUUCUGAAGACUUAAGGUAGUCAAAUAGAAGAACAUCUUAUGUUGCCAGCGCUUGAAAUCAAUCCCUGUCACAACCCUAGUUCACCAAUGGUGAACCUGUCAUGACGGACCCAGUCUUCGCGACUAGGUACGUCUAACACAUUGCGGAAAUUUAACAACCUUUACGAAAACGAUAAUCAAAUACUGAAUAACAUAAGAAAAUGCAUAGAGUGUCGCCAGGCACAUACACUUCAACUAAAAUACUAUAACAACCUCCAAGACCCGAAAAUCCACGGGCAACAUAGGCUAAGAGUAAAAACAUAACAUACGGCUCAAACAUCCGGAAGUAUCUAUAACAACUGAAUACAUGAAAUGGAACUGCUAACUAAAAGGUAGAGUAGAAGGAGACUCUUCGGAUUUGAGAAAGCGGCAGAUGCAUACCUCUAGUCUCCAAG
rnacentral:lncRNA from 1 species